GAUGCUGGAUGUGGGGCCCGUUCCACGGGUUCCGUGUCGGAGCUAACGCGUUAAGCAUCCCGCCUGGGGAGUACGGCCGCAAGGCUAAAACUCAAAGAAAUUGACGGGGGCCCGCACAAGCGGCGGAGCAUGCGGAUUAAUUCGAUGCAACGCGAAGAACCUUACCUGGGCUUGACAUGUGCCGGACGGCCGCGGAGACGCGGCUUCCCUUCGGGGCCGGUUCACAGGUGGUGCAUGGUCGUCGUCAGCUCGUGUCGUGAGAUGUUGGGUCAAGUCCCGCAACGAGCGCAACCCUCGCCUCGUGUUGCCAGCACGUUAUGGUGGGAACUCACGGGGGACCGCCGGGGUUAACCCGGAGGAAGGUGGGGAUGACGUCAGAUCAUCAUGCCCCUUACGUCCAGGGCUUCACGCAUGCUACAAUGGCCGGUACAACGGGAUGCGACAUGGUGACAUGGAGCGGAUCCCUGAAAACCGGUCUCAGUUCGGAUCGGAGCCUGCAACCCGGCUCCGUGAAGGCGGAGUCGCUAGUAAUCGCGGAUCAGCAACGCCGCGGUGAAUGCGUUCCCGGGCCU
rnacentral:rRNA from 1 species